rnacentral:rRNA from 1 species
GUUUGGCACCUCGAUGUCGGCUCAUCACAUCCUGGGGCUGUAGUAGGUCCCAAGGGUUGGGCUGUUCGCCCAUUAAAGUGGUACGCGAGCUGGGUUCAGAACGUCGUGGGACAGUUCGGUCCCUAUCCGUCGCAGGCGUAGGAAAUUUGAGAAGACCUGUCCUUAGUACGAGAGGACCGGGAUGGACGUACCUCUGGUGUACCAGUUGU